CGGACGGCACCUGAGUAGGACGGGACACGAGAAACCCUGUCUGAAUCCGGGAGGACCAUCUCCCAAGGCUAAAAUACUACCUGGCAACCGAUAGUGAACAAGUACCGUGAGGGAAAGGUGAAAAGCACCCCGGUGAGGGGAGUGAAAUAGAACCUGAAACCGCUUGCUUACAAGCAGUGGGAGCUGAUUUUUAUCAGUGACCGCGUGCCUUUUGCAUAAUGAGUCAGCGAGUUACUGUAUGUAGCGAGGUUAAGCCGAUAGGUGUAGCCGUAGCGAAAGCGAGUCUGAAUAGGGCGAAUUAGUUGCAUGCAGUAUACCCGAAACCAGGUGAUCUAUCCAUGUCCAGGGUGAAGCGUGAGUAAAAUCAUGUGGAGGCCCGAACCGAUAUACGUUGAAAAGUAUUCGGAUGAGGUGUGGAUAGGGGUGAAAGGCCAAACAAACCUGGAAAUAGACUGGUUCUCCCCGAAAUGUAUUUAGGUACAGCCUUGCGAAUGAUUUACGGGGGUAGAGCACUGACUGGGCUAGGGGUCUUACCGGAUUACC
rnacentral:rRNA from 1 species